rnacentral:rRNA from 1 species
AACGAACGCUGGCGGCAUGCCUAACACAUGCAAGUCGAACGAGACCUUCGGGUCUAGUGGCGCACGGGUGCGUAACGCGUGGGAACCUGCCCUUAGGUUCGGAAUAACUCCCCGAAAGGGGUGCUAAUACCGGAUAAUGUCUUCGGACCAAAGAUUUAUCGCCUUUGGAUGGGCCCGCGUUGGAUUAGCUAGUUGGUAGGGUAAAAGCCUACCAAGGCGACGAUCCAUAGCGGGUCUGAGAGGAUGAUCAGCCACACUGGGACUGAGACACGGCCCAGACUCCUACGGGAGGCAGCAGUGGGGAAUAUUGGACAAUGGGCGAAAGCCUGAUCCAGCAAUGCCGCGUGAGUGAUGAAGGCCUUAGGGUUGUAAAGCUCUUUUACCCGGGAUGAUAAUGACAGUACCGGGAGAAUAAGCUCCGGCUAACUCCGUG